CCUACGGGGGGCAGCAGUGGGGAAUAUUGCACAAUGGGCGCAAGCCUGAUGCAGCCAUGCCGCGUGUGUGAAGAAGGCCUUCGGGUUGUAAAGCACUUUCAGCGGGGAGGAAGGCGUUAAGGUUAAUAACCUUGUCGAUUGACGUUACCCGCAGAAGAAGCACCGGCUAACUCCGUGCCAGCAGCCGCGGUAAUACGGAGGGUGCAAGCGUUAAUCGGAAUUACUGGGCGUAAAGCGCACGCAGGCGGUCUGUCAAGUCGGAUGUGAAAUCCCCGGGCUCAACCGGGGAACUGCAUUCGAAACUGGCAGGCUAGAGGCUUGGAGAGGGGGGUAGAAUUCCAGGUGUAGCGGUGAAAUGCGUAGAGAUCUGGAGGAAUACCGGUGGCGAAGGCGGCCCCCUGGACAAAGACUGACGCUCAGGUGCGAAAGCGUGGGGAGCAAACAGGAUUAGAUACCCGAGUAGUC
rnacentral:rRNA from 1 species